rnacentral:rRNA from 1 species
GAUCCUGGCUUAGGAUGAACGCUAGCUACAGGCUUAACACAUGCAAGUCGAGGGGCAGCAUGGGUGUAGCAAUACACCUGAUGGCGACCGGCGCACGGGUGCGUAACGCGUAUCCAACCUGCCGUGUACUCCGGGAUAGCCCUCUGAAAGGAGGAUUAAUACCGGAUGUGGUUGUUCGAGGACAUCCUCUUACAAUUAAAGAUUUAUCGGUACACCGAUGGGGAUGCGUACGAUUAGGUAGUCGGCGGGGUAACGGCCCACCGAGCCUUCGAUCGUUAGGGUUCUGAGAGGAAGGUCCCCCACAUAGGAACUGAGACACGGUCCUAACUCCUACGGGAGGCAGCAGUGAGGAAUAUUGGUCAAUGGGCGAGAGCCUGAACCAGCCAAGUAGCGUGAAGGAUGACUGCCCUACGGGUUGUAAACUUCUUUUACGGGGGAAUAAAGUGCGGCACGCGUGCCGUUUUGCAUGUACCCCAUGAAUAAGCAUCGGCUAAUUCCGUGCCAGCAGCCGC